rnacentral:ncRNA from 1 species
GCGUGUAAAAGCCAAACUCGCCGCGAGGCGGGGACGGAAAGUUUCAGGUCUUGGCUUGGGUCGGUCGCCGGGGAUGGCGGCGGGCGGUAGGAAGCCGACAAGCCAAGACGGCUGGGCUGUCACC